ACACUCCUACGGGAGGCAGCAGUGGGGAAUAUUGCACAAUGGGCGCAAGCCUGAUGCAGCCAUGCCGCGUGUAUGAAGAAGGCCUUCGGGUUGUAAAGUACUUUCAGCGGGGAGGAAGGUGUUGAGGUUAAUAACCUCAGCAAUUGACGUUACCCGCAGAAGAAGCACCGGCUAACUCCGUGCCAGCAGCCGCGGUAAUACGGAGGGUGCAAGCGUUAAUCGGAAUUACUGGGCGUAAAGCGCACGCAGGCGGUCUGUCAAGUCGGAUGUGAAAUCCCCGGGCUCAACCUGGGAACUGCAUUCGAAACUGGCAGGCUAGAGUCUUGUAGAGGGGGGUAGAAUUCCAGGUGUAGCGGUGAAAUGCGUAGAGAUCUGGAGGAAUACCGGUGGCGAAGGCGGCCCCCUGGACAAAGACUGACGCUCAGGUGCGAAAGCGUGGGGAGCAAACAGGAUUAGAUACCCCAGUAGUCCCAUGA
rnacentral:rRNA from 1 species